AUUGAACGCUGGCGGCAGGCCUAACACAUGCAAGUCGAACGAGUGGCGGACGGGUGAGUAAUGUCUGGGAAACUGCCCGAUGGAGGGGGAUAACUACUGGAAACGGUAGCUACUACCGCAUACCAUCGGAUGUGCCCAGAUGGGAUUAGCUAGUAGGGGGGGUAACGGCGCACCUAGGCGAAGAUCCCUAGCUGGUCUGAGAGGAUGACCAGCCACACUGGAACUGAGACACGGUCCAGACUCCUACGGGAGGCAGCAGUGGGGAAUAUUGCACAAUGGGCGCAAGCCUGAUGCAGCCAUGCCGCGUGUAUGAAGAAGGCCUUCGGGUUGUAAAGUACUUUCAGCGAGGAGGCGUUACCCGCAGAAGAAGCACCGGCUAACUCCGUGCCAGCAGCCGCGGUAAUUC
rnacentral:rRNA from 1 species